rnacentral:pre_miRNA from 1 species
CGUGCACUGGUGGGGUCCCUCGGCCUGGCCUGCACCCUCUCACAAUCUGGGACCCCUCAGGGGAUGUUGGAGAGCCAGUUUCGGCCUGAUCCCGCAGGCCAGGCCGAGGGACCCCACUGGUGCACG